rnacentral:lncRNA from 1 species
CCAGCCUGGGCGACAGAGCGAAACUCUGUCUCAAAAAAAAAAAAAUGUGAAUCUAUUCUAAAAGAUGGAUCAUUUGGCUCUUUGGUUUGAUAUUUGCUUCAAUAUCCAAUAUCAGCCAACCUUGACCUGGACACUGUAGUCAUAGACUCUUAACAGUCAGCUGUGACUUCAGAGACCAUUUGGAUGAAACUGUUUAAUGGAAAACCUCUUUCAUGACAGUCCUGCCUUGCUAGUCAAACUCGGCCCGGACGCACUUAGGGACGAGGUGCUAACUCUCACAGAAACUACCUGAUCUUUCUUAUUUGAAUAAACCCCACCUCCCUGUAACUUCCUCCUCAUUCUUUUGUUCUCUGACAGCCUCGGGAUAUUUGAAGGCAACCUGGGUUGGUCCCAGCCUUUCCAGCACCUCCUUUCUCCAGCUUGGACUAGAAGCUCUUGGCGUGUGUCAGCUGUUUGUGACAUGACAUGGGUUUGAGACUCCUUCUUUCCCAGCGUGCCCCACAGGGGAAGUCUCUAGAGCCAGGCCCACCCGGGGACAGCAGAGCAGAGCCCUCCCUCUACCUCCAGGACCUAAAUUCUGCAGUAGGGCCAUCUGCCCUGACACCUUCCAAAAGGGUCAUGGUAGAAGAUAUGAAGCAGAAGUCUGCGAGGAUUUCAUCUUCCAACUUUGAGGACCAGGUAUCUGCCCACCCACUCCCAUUUCGCCUUGUCUUUGGUGGAAGCUGGGCUGCAUCUGGAGCUGGUGGGUCUGUGGCCGAAGAUCUGCCUUGUACAGCAGCAACAGGCUCCCCUCCUCUCCUCUUGCUUGCCUGAUGUGGUUGCACUCAACAUGCUUCUUAACUUUUGUAAAAUUCUACAGUGGAAUCUUCAGGACAAGGCCACUGAGUGGUCUCCUGGGUAUUUCCUGUUACUUCGACCAUCCCUCACUGGGCACUGGCCCACUCUGCCUUUAUUUCCAGGGAAUGUCCUCCUCAGGUAAAACAUAGCAGAACACAGAUAACACACUAGCUGAUUUCUUGGUUUUUGAAUCUGAAAAGUCUGGACCCUGGCACAGAACUCACAAUGGGCCCCAGAAAGUAUUUCUUGAGUGGGAAGCUGGACAGCUGGAGGGGAAGUGGGCCGCGAGAGUGGUGGCCCUCCCCAGGGACCCUGUAUUCUGCCCCUCAUGCCCUGGGCUGGUGGUGGAGGUGAGGCUGGGGGCUGACUUCAGAGUGCCCAGCGUGGAGCAGGGACAGAGGAGAGGUCUGCGGGUGUGUCUGGAGGACCAGGUUGGGAGCCUUGCGGAGGUUUCUGUCCUGGAGCCAUCAAACGUUUCCUGGACACCCAAGGGCUGCAUGGUUGUGGCAGGGGAGAGGUGUGAGGGGCAGCCAGGACCUGCCUGUAUCCCAACCAGAGGGCCAGCAGGGUGUCUCCACAGCACCCUGCAUGAGUGGACCGUGAGGCUCCACCCACCCCCAGGCGAUCCUCCUGUCUCCUGUGGAAUCACAGGGACCCCAGGUUGGUGCAGAGCAUCUCUGUCAGUGCAGAAUGGGGCUUCUCAUCGAGGUCAGCUCACCUACAGAACAAGGAAGUUAUGUUUCCUACACACUUGCAAUCGGGAACUGAGCCCAGCGCCCACUAUGCAUUUAGCAACAAUCACAUCUCUCCUUCUGAGUUAAAAUACCUGUUAUGGGUAAGAGCAAGAUGGAAAAUACAGCUGUGCAGGGAGACCAGCUUCCUCCUUGGACAUGCAGGAAGCCCAUUUUCCAGAUGGCUGUGCCUCAUAUUUCAGGACAAAUGCUAAGGUGAUGAGGGGUAAGGAAAAAACACAUAAGCUUUUUAUUCACUUAUUCAUUCAGCAUUUAUGGAGCAUCUGCUGUGCCGGGAAAUACAAUGAUGAAUAAAAUAGACAAGGUUGCCCAGCAACAUGUGCAUGGAGAUUUCGUCUUUUCUGUGUACAACCCCAGCCCCAGGAGGCAAGCCCGCUGGGACACACAUCCCGGGAUGCUGAGUAGAGGAACUCUAAAUAUGCCUCCUCGUAUCAACCACUGACCUUGUCCCUGGGGUGUGCCCUCGGCCAUCACUCUUGAGGAAUGAGGUGGACCCUGAGUUCUACUUGCUAGUCCAAAUGUUUUUCUCGUAUGGGUCCUGCCACAGAUUUCCUGAAGGUAUAUAUCUAUGAAUGGAGUUG